UACGUAGGGUGCAAGCGUUGUCCGGAAUUCUUGGGCGUAAAGAGCUCGUAGGCGGUUCGUCGCGUCGGCUGUGAAAUCCCGAGGCUCAACCUCGGGUCUGCAGUCGAUACGGGCGGACUGGAGUUCGGCAGGGGAGACUGGAAUUCCUGGUGUAGCGGUGGAAUGCGCAGAUAUCAGGAGGAACACCGGUGGCGAAGGCGGGUCUCUGGGCCGAUACUGACGCUGAGAAGCGAAAGCGUGGGGAGCGAACAGG
rnacentral:rRNA from 1 species